AUUCAAAGGCCUGUCCUCCAAAUUGAGCUUUCUAUAGCACGAAAGUCUAAUCUAUUCCGGUAUUCUCUUCCCCAUGAGACAACCUGUUAUAUAGGCUCAAGCAAU
rnacentral:snoRNA from 1 species